GGGGAAUUAAAUAAAUUUCAACAUAAAAUUAAGUUCGUUCUUGAGUAAGAGCAUCGACAAAGAAUUCAGGAAAACCUUCUCCAAUGAAGAAAACUGCGGUCCAUUCAACGGGGUGAUCAAUAAGUUUUCACUUGACAUUGAAAAACUAAAACCAAAGUACAAAGAUGCAGAACUGCAGCUGAUAUUUCUCAUGAAAGAGGAGGAAAAGCUCAAGACAAAUCUCUGCAAAAAGAUUU